AGGCCAUAUCACGUUGAAACACCGGUUACCGUAUGAUCACCGAAGUUAAGAUAAGCAAAGUCUGGUUACUACCAAGAUGUGUAACAGCUUGGGAAUACGAAGUGCUGCAA